CACUGGUUAUACUUCCACCAUGAUUAGCGCGGUUCUUUCCAUUCGCUAGAACGUUACCUACCAGACCGUUCGAUCGGAUUCUUCGUUCGCAUAGAGACACCGUUAAUUCGACACCGAUCGCUAAUUUGCAGUCCAGGAGGCAAAGAAAGGACACGAGGCAAUAUUCCGAUCAAGUGUUUUCGGAGACGCAUGAGACCCGGCACAAAGCGCGUCGAUCACUACAUAGACAUGUUCUAACACGACAUUACCCAAGAAGACCGGUGCCUAUAUUUUUUUUCUACUCGCAAGGUUCUAGGCCAUGACAACAAAACGUGCCACAGAAUUAUUUUGAAGGACUUUCCAGCAAUAGACGCAUCUUUAAUUUACGUAAAAAUGGCUGAAGAACAGUAGGGAGUUGAUGACGCAUUGGACUCUCUCUUGUCGAAAGUGCUUGCGCUGAUGUAGAACAUAACUUUUACCAAGUAUUUGAUGUGUCUGAUAAUUGCUAAAUUCCUUCUUCAAAAUAAGACAGAGCUCCAUGCGUGCACAUACCAUGUUCUGUGUGCUGUGGUCCUGUAACUCCUGUUCUGCAUUAGUUGAGCAUUUGUAGCGUUAAGUGGACCGUAACUUGUAUUGCACGGCUGCUACGUCUCACCAUGGAAGAUCAUAUAAAUUUAAUGCAAUUUUUCUCUAUGAAACAUGACGUCAACACCAUACGUUGCCAUAAUUGCAUCUGUGAUAGAAUUGUACAGCUCUAUCUAAAUCAGAUCGAGAAAGACAAAAUUGAUCGUCGACGAAGGUUACAGCAAAAACCGCUUGGGCAACAAAUUCAAAACAUGUCAAAUCGACUUUCAAGAACGCCAAAAAAAUAAAAAUAAAAAAACUUAAAACUUCAAAAGAGGGAAGGAGUGCCAAAUUUCCAAAGCCAUCGUUCUCUGAGGAAAACGACGAAGCAGAAAGAAAUCCUUCCCAAAACAUAAAUAAAGAAAUAUCCAACAACAUACACAGUAUCAUUAGUAAUCGUAAUUCAGGUAACGAUGAUUCAUCAUAUGUCGAUGCUGAAAAACGAAUUACAAAUUGCAGCAAGAUUCCGAAAACUUCGAAGUUUUAAAUCCUUUUAAGUCUUAAAAGGAUUUAAGACGUCCACGUCUAUCAAAACGCCAGUCAAAAAUUUGAAUUCUAACAAUAAAAGGAAUACACGUACUACAAAUAACGGUUUAGUCUCUUUAUGCAGCUAUCUAAGUUUUCAUGUAAUAAUUUACAUCUGAAAUUUUUGCAUGUACAGAAUUUGAAUGACUGAUGUAAAACAGCAGAUGUAUAUCUCGAUGCUUCAGAUUUUUGAUGAACAAUGUUCCAUUAGAUGAUGGAUCUAUCAACAUAGACUGAUCUUGUAUCAUUGUACUGUUGUCAUUAGUUUGAGAAUCAUUGUAGCUACGUCCAGGCAUCCCGCUAAUCUCAAGGUGUGGAUUGUUCAAUAGCAUCUUCAUCGUUCGCGACAAACCAGUUUUCACUAAGGCAAUUUCCGUCGUGUUGGACAGAGUCUUGGAUUUUGAUUUAGAUUUUAACGACGGUAACUCUCUAUAUGAAGUUGAUGAUGAUGAAUUGUAUUUUUUUUAAUUCUCAUCUUGCAAGCGUACUUUUUUUUUUAUUAAAACUGAAGUUUUCGGAAUCUUGCUGCAAUUUGUAAUUCGUUUUUCAGCAUCGACAUAUGAUGAAUCAUCGUUACCUGAAUUACGAUUACUAAUUAUUACAUGAAAACUUAGAUAGCUGCAUAAAGAGACUAAACCGUUAUUUGUAGUACGUGUAUUCCUUUUAUUGUUAGAAUUCAAAUUUUUGACUGGCGUUUUGAUAGACGUGGAAGUUUUAAAUCCUUUUAAGUCUUAAACGGCAUCAAUAGCAUCUUCAUCGUACGCGACAAACCAGUUUUCACUAAGGCAAUUUCUGUUGUGUUGGACAGAGCCUUGGACUUUGAUUUAGAUUUUAUCGACGGUAACUUUCUAUAUGAAGUUGAUGUUAUUCUAACAAUAAAAGUCUAGUACUACAAAUAUAUUUCAAACUACUCAAGAUCAAAGUGACAAACUACCUAAUGUGUCACUUACAAAGAAAAAAUCUGAUAAUAAGCAAUUACAAAGUCUUUGAUAGAAAGUGUUUUAUAUGUACAAUUUUAUUAUUUACUUGUUUCAAGAUAUAUAUACUAUUAUAUUUGAUUUUUUAUGGGGAAUAGUUAUAAAAUAGGAUAUUGUCAAUAUGUGGGACCAUUUAUGAACAUUGACAUAUAAAUACAUUUUUAUCUUAAUCGAUACACGCACACGAUUGUUAUAAUAAGUAGUGCGAUCAUAUUUUUAUUGUAAAUAAUUUAAGAGAGAGAGAGAGAGAGAGAUAAAAAAGAAUCAUACAUUAUUUUCAAAUAUUACAAGAGUCAUUGGGAUUUUAACUAUGGCCACCUCAAUAAGGAUAUUCCACGUCUAUGUUCAUACUAAACUUACAAAUAUGAGUGUGUAGUAUGAACAUAGACGUGGAAUAUUCUUAUUGAGGGGGCCAUAGUUAAAAUCCCAAUAAAAUAUUAAAUAGCAAUCAAUACAUUAUCUGGAUCGCAUUAACUAUAGCAAGAUAAAAUAUUACAAUAAAUAUAUAAUUUUUUUGUAUCUUAUAAUUGCUUUUUAAAAAAUUUAUACAUAAACUUUUUUAAUUUUAUAUUUUGUUCGAGAAAUAAUUGCAUUUAUAGAAAUAAAACGAUUAUUGGUUUAUUAUUGAUUAUAAAUGGACGAAAUAAAUAAAUGAAUUAUAACUGUCAAAUUAUGACUAUCGUGCUCAGAUUAAAAAUUGAAAUAUGUUCUAAUAAAUUUAAGCAUAAAAUUAAACACGUUAAAAUAUGUUAUAAGGAGUAUACGAAAUUAAGACUGACAGUGUAACAUGCUAAACGUGCAUGAUUUUUAGAAAAUGUAUAAUUUGUAAAAUGACUUUUGAAAAAUAGAA
rnacentral:lncRNA from 13 species